rnacentral:rRNA from 1 species
AGAGUUUGAUCCUGGCUCAGAACGAACGCUGGCGGCGUGCCUAACACAUGCAAGUCGAGCGCGAAUGGAGCAAUCCUAGUAGAGCGGCGCACGGGUGCGUAACACGUGGGUAAUCUGCCUCAAAGCCUGGGACAACCUGCCGAAAGGCUGGCUAAUACCAGAUAAGCCUACGGGCUCUUCGGAGCCUGAAGGAAAAGGUG